rnacentral:rRNA from 1 species
UAGGCGGAAGAAAAGAAACCAACUGGGAUUCUACCAGUAAUGGCGAAUGAACAUGGAUUGGUCAUCAUCGAAUUCCUCCACAUUUUGUGGAUGGGCAGUGUGAUGUUUGUGCUGUUCGURUAUUGUGYCAGCAUGCGAUGUAAGUUCGAUUGAACGUGACAUUCCCAGGGAGGGUGAAAGGCCCGUGACGUUGCAUGACUGGCAUUCAUACGGCAGCGCUGGAGUAGGAUUGCUUGRGAAUGCAGUUCGAAUGCUGUGUGGCAAACCCCAUACAAGCCUAAAUAGGGCUGCGAGACCGAUAGCGAACAAGUACCUUGAGGGAAAGUUGAAAAGCACUCUGGAAAGAGAGUUCAUAAGCACGUGAAACUGUACUCUGCAAAGCGAAUGAUUCGGCGAUUGCGAGGACUGACAUUCAGGUGACCUGUCGAAUUCAAUUUCGCAGGGCGCUGCUUUUGUCGAUUCUCAACGUUGCCUAGUGUGCUURUGGUAGCGUGGUGUCGUGUUGGAGUUGAAUGUCUCUUGAUGUAUCCAUGAGCGCGACACCAUCGGGUUGAACUUAAUUGGCCGCUACCAUCGGCGCGCUGCAGRAAAACGGUUAUACUCGAUGAAACUGACUGGCAAGCGAGGAAGCGAAAGCUUUUUGGCAUGCYUACGGGGACAUGUUCAAUGACCAAGCAAAAGCAACGCAUAUGCUAUGAGUCAUACGAACCGUCUUGAAACACGGACUAAGGAGUUCAACUCGAACGCGAGUCGUUUUUCGAAACAAAAUUUAAAGGCUAAGCGAAGACGACUCUAAAUGAGAUGCUAACAAAAGCAUAAAUGUUGAUGGUAAGCACAUGYGAUGGGUGGUACGUUUGAUAYUGAUGAACACUGCACCUGAGCGUUCAGGUUGAGACCCGAAAGAUGGUGAACUAUGCUUGAGUAGAAUAAAGCCAGGGGAAACUCUGGUGGAGGUUCGUAACGGUUUUGACGUGCAAAUCAAUCGUCAAACUUGAGUAUAGGGGCGAAAGACUAAUCGAACCAUCUAGUAGCUGGUUCCCUCCGAAGUU